UAUCCUGCAAGUAACAAUCACCCUAAUAUUGCAGGGGCUUAAAACACCAAACGUUUGUUUCUUACACAUGUUAGAUGUCCUUUGUGUGUCUGCUGGGGUGCAUCCUUACUAGGAGGCUCAGGCUGUCUUGUUGCUAGUCGCCCUGACAAAGGAAAAGAAUGAGCAUAGGGAGUCAUGACUGGUUCUUAGAGCUUCAGCCAGCAUCCUUCCGCUCGCAUUCCAGUGGUGAAAGCAGGUCAUGUGACUGCGCCCCUCCUUUAGCGGAUGGGAGAUGGCAGUCUUAUUGUGCACCUCCUUGCAAGAGACCAGUUGGUUUGAAAAACAUUAAUUUUUGUUAAAAAAGUUGCUUAGUAUACCAGUAGUGUGCUUUUGAAGAAACAAAACACUUUUAUGAGUAGGUUAAAUGCAGGAUAAAUAUCCACUGCAUAUUUUGGUUGAAAGUUUUGAAAAUCUUUACACUGAAACAUAUUUCUUUGAAUUUUAUAUUUCAUUAAAUUUUCAGUGAAGUUAUUAGUAAAGUUCACUUGAACUUAAGAGGUUAACUUGUUCUGUUAAGAGUUAUAUUCUAACUUUAUCAGUGUGAAGUACAUUUUUAGAGAAUGUUACCUAAUCAUUUUUGAGGAAAAACCAAAAACUGAAAUACAUGUAGAUUUGUAAAACUGCUAAACAUUUGUUAGGAUACAAGAAGGUGUUGAAUGAUACAUUCUUACAGUACUUCAGAUUUCCUCACUCUUAGAAAAAGACAAAGUAAAAUGCUAAUAUGAAUAAUAGGUUACAGAAUUUAAGUUGGCAGGUAACAUAUUUGAAUGGACCAGUUGCCCUCCUGUUACAAUAAUAUGCCAUAUUAACACUAUUUCCUUUUUCUCACAGGAAGUCAUUACAUCUGUAGUUUCCACUGUUGAUUAAUCUCUUGGUAUCAUUCAAGGUGCUGAUUUUUACCUAUGACCAAGUAUAAUAUUGAGUUUGCUUUAAUGGUUAACUUUUUCUAAGAGCACAAUUGAAACUAAUCAGAUUGGCUAUGCUCCUUAAAUUUACCCUCUAAGAGGUUGAAAUCAUGUUCUUGGUAGAGAGAAAAUGACUUUAAAAUUUUUUUGUUGCUACCUAAAAAAAAAAAAACUACCCACUUAAUAUUACCAGUAUUUAGAGAAAAAAAGAUGUAUUUCUUUUUAAACUGUUUUUUUUCUCUGUCAGUAAUGUAGCAGUGUGUAUUUGUUUCCAGGAAUUUUUUCUCUGCUAUGAAAUUUCCUCUGAACUGACAUCUUUGAGUUGGAGUUAAUUUUCUAAAUUGCUAUGGUAUGCCCAGAAUUUUCUUGGGACAAAGAAGGUAGCAGAGAACUGGGGGGCCAAAUAAUGGUUACUAAAUGGAAUAUUUUGUCAAACCAAUGAGUUUUUUAAGUUUUGCGCUCCUUCUGCUGGCUUUUAUUAACUACUCAAGAUCUGAACAGAACAUCAAAAUCCUGGUUUUAUGUAUCAGAAAGAAAAAGGUCUUGGAGAAGAUCCACAAAACUAGAGUUGGAAGCCGGAGAGAAAUUUCAGAUAGUGAUAAGUAAACAUGUUCUGCCCUAACUCUGAUUUUUCAGUAAUGAAAUAGUGUAAACUCUUAACAUUCCUUUUAUGGAGCUUUGUAGUCCAUAAAAACAGCACUGUUGUAGAGCCUCGAUGUGCGUCAUUUGUGGCUGAAGGUUUUGAUGGCUUUGCAAAAGGCAGACUGGUGCAUACUUUGAAACAUGUGAGACAGUUUUAGAUGCAGCUUCUCAGAUGGAUUUAAUUAGUCCUUCAUAGGACUGGAUGUCCGUUUGUUGCAGCUGAAUUCUCAUUUCAUUCACCCAUAACUAGAAACACCUCGCUUCAAACGGGUUUCUUCAAAGAAAGAGGGGUUUAGGGUUCUAUGUUUUACUGCUUUUUGAUGUUGGUUUCCCUUUAACUGAGAAGACCUUAUGUUUAUACAACUGUUAUUAUUAAGAAAACAUAGCUUUCUUCACGAGGGUCCUUUUGUAUCAUUGCUGGUUAUUGGUGGAAGUCAGAGAUCUGUGGAGUAGAUCUUGCUCUGUCAGACUAUUAGAGCAGCUGUGUGUUUGCAUAUUUUGCUUAGGAGAGGUGUGAACUGAAAAUGUGGCAUAAACUUGUGAAAUAAAUUCUCUAAACCCGAAGUCUGAAUGCAGUGUAAGGUGAAAACCCGUACUGAAUAUGUUAAUAGGGCAGUUGUUUGAUUUAGAAGCUUAUAAUAUUAACCACAAAAGCAGAGCUAAUCAACUAGAGUUGCCGUAAUUCACAGUAAUUGUAAUUUUGAUUUACUCUGCCUGCAGUGUAAGCUCAUGGUAUGCUUUCAGUAAAUAUGUUGAAAGAAUGAAAACAUAUUCUCUACAGUAAAAUUAUAUAUUUAAAAAAAUGUAUCCUACUACUACUAUUUUCUAAAAAAUUAUCCAUAAACCUUCACAUUUUAUUAGAAGAGCUACUUGAAUUUACCCUGAAAAUAAUGCACUUUCUUCUGUUUUCCAGUUAGUGUGUCCUCUGAGGGUCUGGCAUGCUUCAUCAUCAAGGCAGCUUUUAUCGCCCAUGUCCACAAUUCUAACUACAUUUCAGGGGGUUGUAAUCUCUCCCAGAAUCCUGGUCAUUCAUUGUAUUUAGGAUGAAGUGCUUCAGGGGGUUUGGGGGCUAUUCGCUCAUGGGCACAGGUUUUGCAUCUCUAAAAGCUUCUCUUGCUCCAACAUCCUGAUUUGUAUAAAAAUCCUAAAAGAUACUCUUUAACUUCGUAUUCCUCUUUCCCUUUAAUGGAAAGACCAAGUUAAAUUAGACUGUUGAAGCUUAAAAUUGUCCCAGAGCCAUACAUCACACUGAAAAAUACAUAUCCCACAAAUUCUUUUGGUGUCUUGUUUCAGUAUUCCAUCCAAGAAUCUGUAGAGUCUCAGGCUUAUGUUUCUGCCUUGUGAAAGCCAUAAGUGAUCUUUCCCAUCUUAUUCACCAGACUCAGUUCUAUAUAACUGUGCCAGUUUCUAAAACUCAAAGGUCAGGCAUGUUCCACCAUUGAAGAUAUGUGAAAAAGAUAGACAAAGGCUUAAAACCAGUUCUUAAAAAAAAUAUUUUGAUCCGUGCUCACAAUAAGUCAGAAAGAGAUUUCACUGAAAUUCGGGCCAACAUACUGUUGGGAAUUGAUCUGUGUUCUUGAUUAUAUAUGUUUUGUGACUUGUGACUGUAUUGUGGAAAUCCUCGUGUUGGGAGAAUUAUGGAAAUGUGGCUCAGGAAUAUCUUGUUACAUUUAUGUAAAUACUAUAAUUUUAAACAAUUUUGUGGAUGUGAUUUACUCCAGGAGUUCUUUUAAUAGUUCCAUCUUUAGUACAGUGUUAUGUGGUUUCGCAGUGUUUUAUUUCUUACAUAUCUUGGUGGAAAUAGAAAAUCUCAAAUACAAAGGACAGAACAUUUGUGAAUUAUUUUUUAUAUAAAUUUGCAAGACCAUUUGUUAGGGAACCCUACUUCUAGUAUUUGAAGAUAAUAAGUAACAUGUUACAGUUAUACCAUUUUCUAUUCUUCAGACUGGGCUGUCUUAUAAAAAAGAAACAUCCAUCACACUGGAUACAGGGACAUAGGCAAUCAUAUUCUUCCUCAAUUAUCUUCGGUUUUAAAAAUGAUGUAAAAAUUAACUGUCUGCAUUUACCAACAGGAUUUUGUUCGGGGCUAGGUAAGGGAGUGGUAGAGAAACAAUAAUGUAACAUUGUAUUUAAAACAAUAGUUUUUGAAGACAUACAGUCCUUAACCUUUGGAAAAGUUACUUAACCUCUCUGAGCCACUGCAGCAAUAGUAUUUUACAUAAAUGCAUACAGAGGAAAGCAUAAAGGCCUUGAGUCACAUGGACUUGAGUGUAAAUACCAGCCCUGAGACUGCUGACUGUCAAAGCAGUAGCAGUUAGUUAUCUUUUCUGAGUCUUCAUUUUCCUCAUCUAUAACAUAGGGAUAAUAGUCUCCAGGGUUUUGUUAAAAUCAAAUAAGAUAAUGUAUGUAAAGUCUCUAGUACAGUGGCUGGCAUGUAGUAGGUACUCAAGAAACCAUCUCCCUUCCCCCUUAAAUAUAGACAUUUUGCUUUUCAAAAGAAUCUAAAGUAGCUUUUACUUUGCAAGCAGUGCUUUCUAUUCUGUGAAAAAUUUGUGGAAAGUUUAAAAAAUAAGACUAAAAACGUACACACAUACUUUGGCAAGGCUUGUGGGUAUCGAUUAAUAUUCUAAGAUUCUAAUAUUCUUUGCUUAGAAUUAUAUUCUUCAUUUAUUUUAUGAAGCCCUUUUUGAGGCCACCACAGAAUACCUGGAGAGUAGUUACAGAGGUAAUCUUCGCCUCUCGCCUUUCUCUUUGGGAAAUUUUCUUCAGUGAGCCAAUCACUGCGGUUGCCUUCCCCUCCCUCUUGCUGCCCUUGGGACCCGGCUGUGGUUUGCAAUCCCACGGGGUCUGCAGUUCCUCCUUCCCCCGCAAUCAGGCACAUCUUCACUGUUAGAGGUGCAGGGCUGGUGGAAUCAGGCUCUAUGGGGGAUCUGUCCCUUCUUUCAAAGCCUUUCUCUUAUCCAUGGAUACUCUACCCGUUGUUAAAAACUCCAGACAUCAUGGAAUUACCACACCAAUUAUUACAGUGACCAUGCUUUGCAAUAAAAUAUUGACCUUUGUUAUUGUAUUUUCCCUCCAAAUGAAUUUACCAACAAAUAUCUAAACUGGCUCAGUUGAGGUAAUCAGAUCGACCUAGGGUUGGAUAUGCUCCUUUGCUAACCGUGGAACUUUGAGCAGUUAUUUUAACUUCCCUGAACCUCAGAUUUGGCAUCUAUAAAAUAUGAUUAAUAACAUCCCCAUUGUAGGAUUACUCUGAGUAUUUAGUGAGUUUAAUGUUUAUUAAAAUAUCUGCUAGAUGUUAGCCACUCAGUGCAUGUUCCCUUUCUUUGAUUUUUGACUCAUUUUUCUGAACAAGUGACAAAAACUUGGCUGCAAAGAACACCAAGGGGCAUUCAUAAUCUGGAUAUUACCAUUAGGAGUUUCUAGUCUGUUUCAGUGUUGCUUUCUCUUCCUCCCUCCCCUCCCCUCCCCCUCCCCUCCC